GGAUUGCAGACCGCACCCCCUGGGCGCUGCUCUACUUUUUAAUUCCCCACCCCGCCCCCCAUCCCCUUUAGGCACUGGCUCGGGUGGUGGUGGAAAGCCCCUGAAGUGCAUUCCGCACUUGGUAUCUCCCUUAUUGUUUUGAAGCUAGAUCUCAGGGAGGUGUGUGUUUAAACCAGGAAAGUCGGUGUGUGUAUGUCUGUGGUUGUGAGUGAUUGAAGUGGGCUGGGACUGCGCUGCAUUAUCUCCCUGUCCCUUCCACCUACGAAUUCCUGGAGCUCUCUUGGGUUGCACACGCUGGGAUUGUCUCCUACAAGUAGGUCUUCGCCUUCACAGCUGGUCCCGAGACAGCGUGGUCUGCCUCCCCCAAGCCCCCAUUGUGUCUUGCUAGUUUGGGGUGCAUACAGCUGUUGAUCUCUAUUGCAGUUUGGCUUGUUUGCGGGGGAAACAUGAGCCCCGAGCGAGUAUUCACCGCGUCCUCCUUUUCUCCCGCCUCUCACAAUGGCUUAGUUCUCUUUCAAGCUUGCAAAGAACCAUCCAGGCUGCAGGUACUUUUUCCCUCCUCCGUUUUCAAAAAUAACCGCCCAUCACUCCCGGGAGAGCUGAUGAUAGAAGGAUUUUCCUUGCUGCCCAAAGAAGCCUGAGUUGUUUCUCCAUCUCAAUGAGGAAAUGUGAUCGGAAAUCUCUGGGUUUUGCUUUUGUGAAUUGUUUUUUUAUCGGAUAGUUUUAACUGGCGGGGACCAUAAUUCCCCCAUUUUAAAGUCAGCCAGUGCUGUGGCCAAGUCUGUUAACACCCUUGGAUGUCAGUUUUCUCCUCAGUAAAAUGGGGCAAGUUCCCACCUUGUAGAACUAGUGCCAGGAUAAGAAAUCAUAUUUGUAGAUUGCCUGGCAUAUAAUAAGAAUUCAAUAAGAAAUAGGUAUUAUUAAUAAGCUGGAAUCAUAAUUACUGGUGUGAGCUCUUUAAAGAUGCUACUAAAAAAAAAAAAAAUCACAGCAGCUACAUUGGAUACCAAGAUACUAAAUCAACUAAAGCUGGGUAUUCAUAUAAUGAACUUAUUUGUUGGGAAAAUGGCACCUUGCUUUUCAUACUUCUUGUGUUAUGUUUGGCCUGCCUAACUUUAAGCUACUAUUUUACAACUUCGUUUAAUGUGCUGUAACAUUAGCAGACGUUGUGCACCUUUGCUGUGCUAUACCAUGAUUCCAGCUCCUUAAUCCUUUCCUGGAAUCUUUCUCCAACCAGACUGGUGUAGAAGAGGCCAAAGUUUCACAUAAUUUCUCUCCAAGCUAUACCUGAGAUGCCACUCUAACAGACAGCAUAGGAAAGCUGGGUCCUAAUCUGAACUGCAUAGGGUCAGGUUGCCAGUCCUAAAUGCUUUUUUAAAAAGAAGAAAAAGGAUAAUUUGCCAGGCAGGGAAAACAUGGAGCCUCCCAGGGGAUGGCUUCUGGAGCUUGGUGGCAGGUGGCCCUGGUAAGGGCUGGGAUGUCUUCUCCACUCCAGUAUUGCUGCCCCAUUAGUCUAUGGAGGGAGCUUUCCUCAACACAGGUCAGAGGUCAGCCUUUAUUGGGUCUGCCUGAAUCUUUAGACCUGUCUCACUUUUCAAAUUAACUGUGAGGACCACCAAGGUAGUUAUGGUCCACCAAAGUACCCCCUUCCCAUGAGGUGGAGGAGGGGCUAGAGGAGCUCAAGCAACUGGGAAACCCUGAGGGAGUAGCAGUUUCUGUCCAGUACACUCCAUUGCCCCAGAGCCCAUACAGGAAGAGGCAUGACUGGGUCUUGGCAUCCGGACUGUCUCAGAUAUCCUCAAUGAUGAGCCUCAGCUUUUCUGUGAAUCCUAGGAACCACUGAUACAUCAUUAGCUGACAUAUCAUUAGUUUGCUUUUUGUUCAUUCACUUAUCGUUUAAUCAAUUUACCAGUUACUUAUUGUGUCUUUUGUGCAGAGCACAGCCUCAGUGUCUGUGUUUGUUGUGAAAGAUUUUGCUUGCAGAUGAUUCUUGUAGAAUUAAAGGUCUUGCUUCAUGUUCUUUUUUAAGGCUAAUUGGAUAAAAAAUAAGGCCUAGAGUAAUGAGAGGCCAGACUUGCAUCUCUAUAUGUUAUCUCCGCAGGGGAAUGUCAGAAAUGCACCUGCCCAUCUAGGAGAGAAGGCAGUAGCUGGUAGAUCCUGCAUCUGUCCAGAUCCCAUCUGACUGGGUCACAGGCCUUUGAUGAAAGUGAGAGGAGGUGACUGCCCAGGCCCAAAGCACCCACUGAGGGGAUAAGCUUGGGGCGCAGCCACAGAGCAUUCUGUGGUGGUGCUGACAUUCUUAACACCUUCCCUCCCCACCCCAGUUCCCUUCUUUUAGAUUCUUUGGACUUAGGCAGAGCAAGGAGAAACAGUGAGGCCACUUCUGGAGCAGCUGGUAUUCUUUGACGAGUGGUAGAGCCCAAGAAUGGUGAGAAGAAAGGCUCUGAGAGAGGUGCCCCUGGCAGCCUGUGCCAAUGCACAGAGUGCAGGUUGUCCAGUCAGAGACACCUGCAGCCAGAGCUCUGGAAAGGAGCUACUGCCCUGUGAUGUGGGCCAGUUACUUCGCCUCUUUGAUCUUUGGUUUUCUCAUUGUAAAUGGAGACUACAGCGCCUCACAGAAUUACAGUAAAAAUGAGGGGAAAAAAUGUAUCUGAUUUGAGCUCAGUGUUCUGCAGUUAGUUGGUGGGCAGUGAAUGGCUGCUGUUAUGAUGACGAGAUGAACCAGUAGUGUGUGCAUUUCUCCACACACAGAGAAAAGCCUCAACGGAAACACUCCCAAAAGUUAAUAGUGCCAAGCACUUGGGGGAAAGCUACCAGGAUUUUUUUUUUUGGUCUAUUCUUUUCCUUAUAUUCUAAAUUUUGUGCAAUGCUCAUAUAAUACAUUUAUCAUCAAGGAAAUAUUUUUUUUAAUUACUACUAAAAUCAUAUUAAUAGUUAACAUGUAUUGAACCUUUACUUUGAGCUUUACAUGCAGGAUUCGAUUUCACCUUUUCUGCAACCCUCUGAAAUAAAAACUAUUAUUAUCCCCAUCAUUCAGAUGAGGAAAUUAAGACUCAGAGAGUUAAAUGACUUGCCCAAGAGUCCAGAACUAGUAACUGUAGAAGUGCUGCUUUGUCUGAUGGUAAAGGCUGUGCCUUGAACUCCUCUGUCUGACACACUGGAUGCCUCUUAGAGCGCUGCAGGGCCUGCUGCUGAGGUGAGUCUGCAUGAAUGUGUAGUAUAGACGUCUGUGCUCACUGCUGUGGUUCUCUCUCUGAGGGGCCUCUCUGUUCACUGCAAUCCUAUCUUAGCCCCUUUGAUCAGGGAGAUCCUGGGAGGGAGGAAAGUGGGAAUGGGUUGGGUCAUCGCCCUUCAGCAUCUUGGAAAACGCUUAUGGGAGCUCUUCCUCAAAAGCAAGGAGAAAGUGGCUCUGCGUGAAGAAUAAUUGAGAAUAAUGAUGAUGAGGGAAUGUGCCCCUGACCUUUGACCUUUCCCCAGAGAGGCAUUGGUCAAAGACCCCCUGGGCCUGUCUGCAGCCAGGCUAACAAGCAGAUUAAAAGAGGUCAGUGGGUUAAAGGGCUCUGUCUGCCUCCCUGUAUUAUAUUGCUCCCUCCCAAAGGCCAGGAUGCUGUGGGCCCUGCAGAGUGCCUGGGCUCCCAGGUGCUGUGUUGAAAAGACAAAUGCUCCUUUAGCUUUUUAUUUUUAAUCCCUAACUUUAUGGAGACUUAAUUGCCAAAUAAAAAUUAUAUAUAUUUAAAAUCUACAAUGUGAUGAUUUGAUAUAUGCAUACAUUAUGAAAUGAUUCCCACUAUCAAGCUAAUUAUCACAUCCAUCAGUUCUCUUCAGCUCUUUACAUGUACAGACUGAUUCUCAUCUUAACAACUUCUGCUUUUUUUCCUGACUUAAGCUCGUUAACACUCACAUGAAGGUACUGCCAGCUUCGGCUAGAAAAUAUCAGUCCUUUCCACUCUCAGGGACUUCUAGGACUUUCUCCUGGUUUCCACUAAUUGUAACUGGCAUAGAUUUGAUUGUCUCCCAGGUACUGAAAUCAUGUCCAUUUUCUGCUAAUUCCCAAAAUCUCAAGGGCAAGAAAUUCUAUUCUUUCCUUGAGAAAGCAGGUUGGAAUACACAGGAACAGUUCCAUAUGCAUUUCAGCUGUGGGUAAUAAGCCAUCAUAGCCUUCAUGUACUUUUCUGAAUUGAAACCAAAGCAUGUGAGGAAGGUUUUGACUUUGGUUAAUUACUAGGAAAACAAAGAAGGGAAUAUUGGGAGGGGAGAAGAGAGAGCCUCUGAGAUUAGUAAGUGACUUCCUCUUAAUGACAUUUUGAGGUAACACAUUUUCCUUCAUUUUUGUCUUAAUAGAAAAGUAGAGAUUUAUAAUUGGUCCUUUUGGUGACCUGGCAGUCCUUGCAUUGCUUAUGCAAUUGUUUUUGUGUGAAGCCAGCAAAAAAAAAAAAAAAA